rnacentral:rRNA from 1 species
UCGAGAAUUUUUCACAAUGGGGGCAACCCUGAUGGAGCGACGCCGCGUGGAGGAUGAAGGCCUUCGGGUUGUAAACUCCUGUCAUGCGGGAACAAGCAAGUGAUAGUACCGCAAGAGGAAGAGACGGCUAACUCUGUGCCAGCAGCCGCGGUAAUACAGAGGUCUCAAGCGUUGUUCGGAUUCAUUGGGCGUAAAGGGUGCGUAGGUGGUGACGCAAGUCUGGUGUGAAAUCUCGGAGCUCAACUCCGAAAUUGCACCGGAUACUGCGUGACUCGAGGACUGUAGAGGAGAUCGGAAUUCACGGUGUAGCAGUGAAAUGCGUAGAUAUCGUGAGGAAGACCAGUUGCGAAGGCGGAUCUCUGGGCAGUUCCUGACACUGAGGCACGAAGGCCAGGGGAGCAAACGGGAUUAGAUACCCCGGUAGUCCUGGCAGUAAACGGUGCACGUUUGGUGUGGGCGGGUUCAGACCCCGUCCGUGCCGGAG